UGAUAUUUUUAGUUCUCAGUUUACCAGGCUUCUUCUUAUUCUAGCAUUCCCACAAGUUUCAGUCAGUUUUUAUUUCUUACUAUAACAAAAUCAAAUACUUUAAAACUUAGGCAUCAUAGAACAUGUUCAGAUAAUGAAGUGCCAACUGGAUUUUGGCACCAUUCCUUGCAUAUUUGUCAUCAAGAGUCAAAAGUAAUAGGAAAGAAAUUAGGCAGAUGAAAGCAGUUUUGGUUUCACAGAAACGGAACUGACAUUGUACAGUCAGUGCUGUGGAAUUCUGGACUCUGCUACUACAACUAUCACUACCAUCCUCUCUAAUCAGUUUCAGGAGACAUGUUGGAUUGAAUUAACAUCUGGAAAUCUUCUACUACAAUGAAACUAAAUAGUUUUGCCUACAUCUUAGGUGUUUAGUCAUAGCUCAUGUUUAUUCUUUUUUAUGUUCUGAAACUAUUGUACAUAGCCUGUCAUUGAAUUGCUUUCAAUUAAUGUUCCUUUGUUGAGUUUUGCCAGGAAGUCUGCCCAGCCUUUUGACCGAUUAACAGUGGUUAAGAGGCAUUUUGGAGAAAGUGCUAUAUUUUUCUUUUGUAACAAUGUUUUCAUUGUCAAAAUUUUAAUCAUACUCCUUUUGUCUCUCUGAUAUAACUUUUAGUAAAGGCAUUUUCUUUGCUAUGUUGUAUUUUUCUUCCUUAAAAAUUGUGAGCUCCCUCUCAGUCCAUAAAUGCCCCAAUUCCCCUUUUUUUUUUACCUACCAAGCACAACAUAUUUUAGAUUUCAUUUGGUGUUGAAAACUUGCUUAUGUGUGUAGACUGAGAAAAUGUUCACAGUUUCUGUUUGGGAAUAAUUACUACUUUUCCCAGAACAGAGGUGAAAUGUGUAUACCACACAGGCUGAAAUGAAGAGGCAAGAGACAUUCUUUUUCCAGAGUUUAAUCAUCCGCCAUUUGUCCUGUGAGAUGCCAAGACACCUCCUCAGAUAUCAAUUGGAAGAUAAGCAACAACUCUUUUGGAGUAUGGAUCUAGGUGAUAGAGUGAGGCAUAAUUCAUUAGUGCUGUUGUUACUAUCAGAAGUCAGAUCCAACUCCAAACAUAUAAUGUGCUGGGAUUAAAAAGAAAGAGUGAAGACUAAUAUAUAUGUGACUUAUCUUUGUCAUGGAAUGGUUAACUACUGAGAGAAAUUCUGUAUGCCAAGGACCUUUCUAGCUGUCCCAGGUUGGAUUUCCUGGUUGCAGACCUCCAGACAAAAGCUUCCUAGGGCAGUGAUUUCAAAGGUAGUGUCACAAGGAAGAUGAGUGAAUGGAUAGAAAAGAAAGCAGCCAAAAAAGAGCUGGAGGUCAACAAAGAUCUUGCUAAGUUUUCCUCCAUUUGGAUAGUUGUGUGUAACAAUCAGCUUAGCAGUGAAGAGACAUGGCAGGGAUCAAACUCGGGACCUUGAGCUUAUGAGGCAGGUGCUGGAACCACUGAGCUAAAUCCUCAGCCCUAUCUCUUUAUUCUUGAAGAUACACUUGCCUUAGACCCUGAAGCUUGGAUUUGUCACAGGGCAGCUGAUGCUACUACAAGACUAGCUGCAUUUCACAGCAGAUGCCUAGGCCUAAGGGAUUGAACUCCAGACCUUGUGCUUGCAAGGCAGGCACUGGAACUACUGAGCUAAAUCUCCAGUCACUUAUUGUUAUCUUUCCUGAACAGACAUUAUUUUAAAAAGUAGCAUGGGAGUCACACAGAACAUGCCAAAUCAGCCCGCUACAGACAGGUAGGUCUGUGCACGCCCUACUGAGGUCCUGAGUCACGCGGAAGAUGCUGAAUCACCCCGCUGCAGACAGGCAGCCACCUGGUUCCACACUACAAAGACGCAGAGGAUGACACACCACCAGACCAAGGUACUGAGUCCCGCUGUUCCCGGCCCACAGGUAGGGGCUUCUGAGCUGCCAUCCCACUGCUCCUGAUCCAGAGGAAGGGGCUUCUGGGUCACCAUCCCUCCUGCUGCUCCCAGCCCAGAGGAAAGGGCUUUUGGGCCACCUUCUGUCCCACUGCUCCUGGCCCAGAGGAAGCGGCUUCCGCACCACCAUCCCACCCACCGCUCCCGGCCCAGAAGUAGGGGCUUCUGAGCCAACAUCCCACUGCUCCUGGUCUAGAGGAAGGGGCUUCCUGGUCACCAUCCUUCCCGCUGCUCCCAGCCCACAGGAAAGGGCUUUUGGGUCACCAUCUUUACCGCUGCUCCCAGCCCCUGACCCACCUCUCCCAGCUUAGAGGAGGUAAUCUGUGCAGGCACUAACAGCCCCCCGCCCCAGGCGAAAUGAGAAAACACAUAAAUAAGUCUCAAAACCAGACUUCCAGAUCACCUACAGCAACCCCAAAGGGAAAUGAGAUGGAACACUCUGAUACUCAACCACCUGGACCCACUGAACUGGCAAAAAAAGGGGAUCUGGAAAAAAUGAAAUCAGAAAUAAUUUCUCAGAUAACAGCAAAGAUUGUGUCCCUAGUGCAAGACAUGAUUAAUAAAACUAGAGAGGAGCUCAGGAACAUGAUGGAAUCACAACAUAAGAAACAAAUGGAAUCCAUAAAACAGAUGCAAAUAGAUUUCCAGGACAAGAAAAACUCCACUGAAAGUCUACACAGCAGAAUGAGCCAAUGUGAGGACAGAAUUUCAGAUAGAGAAGAUAAGAAUGCAAUUAGUGACCAGGAAAAGAAAAAUUGCUUCCAAAUUAUAAGGGAACAUGAGAAAUCAAUCCAGCAGCUGCUAGAUGAUGCAAAGAAGAAUAAUAUAAGACUGACUGGGCUCAAUGAAGAAACAGGAGUGAGUGCAGAUGACAUAAAAAAUCUCUUCACAGAAAUAAUGGCAGAAAACUUCCCAAGCAGGGGAAAAGAGCUUGACAUACAGAUAAGUGAGGCAUAUAGGACUCCAAAUAGCCUUGAUCAAAAAAAUUGACACAUAGGCAUAUAAUUGUUAAGAUUCCAGAAACACAACAGAAGAACAAAGUUCUCCAAGCAAUCAGAGCAAAGAAACAAAUCACAUACAAAGGAAAGCCCAUCAGAAUCACAGCAGACUUCUCAACACAAACCAUCAAG
rnacentral:lncRNA from 1 species